UACGUAGGUGGCGAGCGUUGUCCGGAUUUACUGGGCGUAAAGCGCGCGCAGGCGGUUCGUUAAGUCCGGUGUGAAAGCUCCCGGCUCAACUGGGAGAGGUCAUUGGAUACUGGCGGACUUGAGGGAUGCAGAGGAAGGUGGAAUUCCCGGUGUAGUGGUGAAAUGCGUAGAGAUCGGGAGGAACACCAGUGGCGAAGGCGGCUUCCUGGCCUGUUCUUGACGCUGAGGCGCGAAAGCUAGGGGAGCAAACGGG
rnacentral:rRNA from 1 species